UACGUAGGUGGCAAGCGUUGUCCGGAAUUAUUGGGCGUAAAGGGCGUGUAGGCGGCUAAAUAAGUCAGAUGUGAAAUGCCAAGGCUUAACCAUGGAGCUGCAUUUGAAACUAUUAGGCUAGAGGAUCGGAGAGGGCAGUGGAAUUCCCAGUGUAGCGGUGAAAUGCGUAGAUAUUGGGAGGAACACCAGUGGCGAAGGCGACUGCCUGGACGACACCUGACGCUGAGACGCGAAAGCGUGGGGAGCAAACAGG
rnacentral:rRNA from 1 species